rnacentral:pre_miRNA from 1 species
UAGCGCGUCGAAAUGACUGUGAACUAUGUUGAACUAUAUCUUUCAUAUCACAGCCAUUUUGACGAGUUUAA